CCUACGGGAGGCUGCAGUGAGGAAUAUUGGUCAAUGGACGCAAGUCUGAAUCAGCCAUGCCGCGUGCAGGAAGACGGCUCUAUGAGUUGUAAACUGCUUUUGUACGAGGGUAAACGCAGAUACGCGUAUCUGUCUGAAAGUAUCGUACGACUAAGGAUCGGCUAACUCGGUGCAAGCAGCCGCGUAAUUACGGAGACUUAAAGCGUUACCCGUAUUUAUUGGGUUUAACGGGUGCGUAGGCGGUCGGAUAAGUUAGAGGUGAAGUCCGGAGGCUCAACUUCGGAAUUGCCUCUGAUACUGUUCGGCGAGAGAGUAGUUGCGGUAGGCGGAAUGUAUGGUGUAGCGGUGAAAUGCUUAGAGAUCAUACAGAACACCGAUUGCGAAGGCAGCUUACCAAGCUACUUCUGACGUUGAGGCACGAAAGCGUGGGGAGCAAACAGGAUUAGAUACCCUUGUAGUC
rnacentral:rRNA from 1 species